AUUAAAAAAACAUUAAAUUACUUGAGAGUAGUUUAAUUGAGAGGUCAGUGGAGUUACAAAGCACGCACAUGGCUGUUUUUCCAACUACUCACACGCUGGAGAAAAUCCUUGUUUACCCCAUCUUAGCAGGCCUCAUCUGUUACAAGACCAAAAAUAACCAGACUAAAAUAGAAACAGAUUCGUUUGGUCAUCGUGACUUUAGGGUCAGUCCCUAUCCUCUCUUGGAGCCCUGAACGCUGGCCAGCGUUCCCCAGUUGUCAUCAUCCCAUGCUGGGAAGGAUACGCAGCAAGGCAGCUCCUGAACCUAGAAGCCUAAUACAAGGGGAUACACAGAAAACUGAAACAAACCUUUUUUUUUUUUUUUUUUACCUUAAAUGUAAAUACCUUAUCACUGAUUACCAGCGCUAUUAUCUUCUUGAGCCAUUCCACAGCUUUGAUUUGCUGUAAUUCACCCCUGAGAUAAGUCAUUCAGCGAGCUGAAUCAGCUACGAGGUAUUAUACACCCAUGUCAUGCUUUUGAGAAAAACUCAAGUGCAGGUGUCUCAACUGAGGUCGAGCUUUCCAGCAUUCACAGACACCAUAAGGCUAUCGGGCUCCUGAAGGCAGUGCGCAUUGCAGGCUUUCCUAGAAGCCUUCUCCAUGAAUUUUGUUGCCAGGUCAUGGCUAUUUAUGGCUGUUCAUAAAAGACGGAUAGAAGCAGGAAAGCACAGUCUGGAUUUCAUCCUGACCAAGCACGCUGCGUUACCACAAGGUACAGCUGUUUGCCUGCUCCAGCCCCGCAGCCCAGCUAACUUCAGAGAGGUUGUGAGGGAGCGAUGUGCUUCAACACAGGCAGUGGUUUUUUCAUAAAAAGCAAGUAUUUCAGGAAACCUUCCAAGGCAGCUAGCGGCGCUGCGUUGGGCAUGCCAAAACAUGAUGCGCGCUGGACACCGCUCCCCGCUGCGGCCUGCCAGCUCGCUUCCCCAGCCAGCUGUUUUACGAGAUGACAAGUUUUUCCACGCACCAGGAUCAAAUUUAAAAGCAGCGGUCAAGCUAGCAGCAAGACACGCAGAUGGUUUCACUGUCAGGACAGCAGCAGACACACAUCUUCCUGCCAGCAGAGGCUCGGGACCCACGCUGUCUGGGCCUCAGGUCUCCCCAUUGACUCAGACCAAUCGCCCUUGUUCCUAGAAAAAAAUCUUAAUGAACUCUGAUGGGAUUCAGGAUGGAAGAGCCAGACCCACCCCAGAGCUGGAGCAGAACUAGGUGACACUAGAUGUCCUGCAUGCAAAUUAACUGGAAACCUUCACAAGAAGGCAGCAGCAACUUGCAGAUCACAGCACUACUUGUGGGACUUUGUUAUCUCCUGUAAACACCAAGCUGUUUAGAUACCACCUGGUGCAUGAGGUGGAGGAAAAAAAGGGCAGAGAAGUCUCAUUCACCUGUUGCUUUCCUGUCAAUGGUGACGUACUCUUGUAAAACGCUUUUCAGACACUGACUGUUGCUAUCGGGGUCAUCCUGGGGCUUCGUGUACCAAGAGAUGGACAUCCAGAUCCUGUUCACAGCUCCACGUCUUGUCCCAUGCUUAGGUCAACCCCAUCGACAAACCCAAAAAUCAAGGUUUGACUUGAGGCAAUAAAGAAGAAAGAAAAGGAAAUAAAAAAAAAACGAGAGAGAGGGGGAGGAGGAUUAGAGGCUAAAGGGCAUCCAGAGCCUUGUACAAAGCACUCCUCUUUCUUUUUGAUCUUAUUCUUGGUCAAGAAGAUCCUUCCCACUUCUGUACAGUCACAAGCCACAUUAUGGUCUGCUUUCUUGACAAGAAGAAACACAACACCAGAUAUCUGCAGAGAGCAUCUGCUCUCACACAAACCUGAAUAAGGGUCACAUUUUCAAAGAGGCCAGCGCCCAUUAUAUCCCAAGCCAAGGACAUGAGAGGGCCCAAAAGAUCUGAGGGUUGCCUGCAGCUCUACAAUAUGCUUUCCACAUAAACGUAGACGAGCAGUUUAGGGCCCCUCUCCUUUCCACCACGCCUCGGUCUCCCCGAUCAUAUAACAGUGCACAUUCCUCCCUCAUCAAAGAGGUGUUUGCAAAGUUUGUGAGCCAAAGUGUGCUCAGCAAAGCGCUGGGAUCGUUGGGUGAGAAAAUCCGAGCGUAGUGCACAAGGGUAAUGUUUCUAUUGUGCCCAGAAAAAGAGCUGCCCUUAUCAUGUAUCCACCUGACACCUUCAUACAGCUGGGGUCUUACUCUCAGAUGGGGCUUUUAACUGCAAUAUAAAUUGAAUUUUAGCUGGGUUUCUUAGGGAAGUGAGGCUUGCAUGAGUAACUGAGCAGAUCUCUGCUUUGAUCUCCUUAGUUUGAGACUGUAGUCAGCGUUGACAUCUCUUUCUUGGGGUUCCUCAUCGUAUCAAGACUUAUAAACAGCAGAAGGAAUAACAGUUUCGGUGGACUUCAGAAUACAUCCUACUUUUUU